rnacentral:rRNA from 1 species
AGAAUCAACGCUGGCGGCGUGCCUAACACAUGCAAGUCGAACGAGAAAGGGUAGCAAUACCUGAGUAAAGUGGCGCACGGGUGAGUAACACGUGACUAACCUACCUUUUAGUGGGGGAUAACCUAGGGAAACCUGGGCUAAUACCGCAUAAUACCUACGGGUCAAAGCAGCAAUGCGCUGAAUGAGGGGGUCGCGGUCGAUUAGUUAGUUGGCAGGGUAAUGGCCUACCAAGACUGUGAUCGAUAUCCGGCCUGAGAGGGCGCACGGACACACUGGAACUGAAACACGGUCCAGACUCCUACGGGAGGCAGCAGUGGGGAAUUUUGCGCAAUGGGGGAAACCCUGACGCAGCAACGCCGCGUGGAGGAUGAAGUCCCUUGGGACGUAAACUCCUUUCGAUCGGGACGAUAAUGACGGUACCGGAAGAAGAAGCCCCGGCUAACUUCGCGCCAGCAGCCGC